rnacentral:rRNA from 1 species
GAUGAACGCUGGCGGCGUGCCUAAUACAUGCAAGUCGAGCGAACAGACGAGGAGCUUGCUCCUCUGACGUUAGCGGCGGACGGGUGAGUAACACGUGGAUAACCUACCUAUAAGACUGGGAUAACUUCGGGAAACCGGAGCUAAUACCGUAUAAUAUAUUGAACCGCGUGGUUCAAUAGUGAAAGACGGCUUUUGUGUCACUUAUAGAUGGAUCCGCGCCGCAUUAGCUAGUUGGUAAGUUAACGGCUUACCAAGGGAACGAUGCGUAUCCGACGUGAGAGAGUGGUCGGCCACACUGGAACUGAGACACGGUCCAGGCGCCUACGGGAGGCAGCAGUAGGGAAUCUUCCGCAAUGGGGGAAAGCCUUACGCAGCAACCCCGAGUGUGUUAUGAAGGUCUUCGGAGCGUAAAACUCUGUUAUUAGUGAAGAACAAAUGUGUAAGUAAAUAUGGACUUCUUGACGGUACCGAAUCAGAAAGCCACGGCUAACUACGUG